rnacentral:rRNA from 1 species
UACGAAGGGUGCAAGCGUUAAUCGGAAUUACUGGGCGUAAAGCGUGCGUAGGCGGUUUGUUAAGUCUGAUGUGAAAGCCCUGGGCUCAACCUGGGAACUGCAUUGGAUACUGGCAAGCUAGAGUACGGUAGAGGAAGGUGGAAUUCCCGGUGUAGCGGUGAAAUGCGUAGAGAUCGGGAGGAACAUCUGUGGCGAAGGCGACCUUCUGGACCAGACUUGACGCUGAGGCACGAAAAGCGUGGGGGAGCAAAAC